CAGUAGCCGCGGUAAUGCGGAGGGGGCUAGCGUUGUUCGGAAUUACUGGGCGUAAAGCGCACGUAGGCGGCUUGGUAAGUUAGAGGUGAAAGCCUGGAGCUCAACUCCAGAAUUGCAUUUAAGACUGCCGAGCUAGCAGGUGAGAGAGGUAAGUGGAAUUCCGAGUGUAGAGGUGAAAUUCGUAGAUAUUCGGAAGAACACCAGCGGCGAAGGCAGCUUACUGGCUCAUACUGGACGCUGAGGUGCGAAAGCGUGGGGAGCAAACAGGAUUAGAUACCCCAGUAGUCCCUGUCUCUUAUAC
rnacentral:rRNA from 1 species